rnacentral:lncRNA from 1 species
CCAAGGGUAGGGGUAAGGUCUGCAUACACACUACCCUCCCCAGACCCCACUAAAUGGGAUUAUACUGGGUUGUUGUUGUUGUUGUUACACUGCCAAGUUUAUUUGAAUAUAUAAACUUCAAAAAGCAACAGGGUUACAGAUUUCAUUGCAUCAUUUCAAUAUCCAAGAUAUAGCAAUAUAAGAUUCAAAUGUAUACCUCGAUUAGUGGAAUAUAAGAAUAAUGAAAAAAGGUCAGCUACAGGCUGAAUAAGCAGCGAAACAGAUCACAGCAGCAGCAAGAAAACAGUAACACCAACAACAUAUUAUCAACAGCAAUGGAGUAGUUAAAUAAAAAGACCAACCAAGCACCAAUUCGGCCAAAAUAAAACCCAUAAACAAAGAAAAACCCAUAAACAAAGAGAAAUAGAGCUUGACCAAAACAAUACUACUAGUAACACAAACACCCCAAGACAGAACUAGUGGGCUUGAAUAACCUAAAAAAUAGAAUAAGCAGACUUCCAAAUAGAUUUAGCAAUCAGAAAAGGUAAGAAUCAGUGCCUAGAAUCCAACUUUCUGCAUAGAACUCAAUGGAACAACACCCUUUCUUUUAAAUACCGACAAUGACUUAAAGUCUGAAGAUGCUCUCUUAGACUGAUUAGAAAGAGAACCUAGGGAAAAAUUGACUGCCUCUUUCUGAAAUUCUUUGAAGUGUGACCUUUGAGAACUGAUUCCAAAAGCCCUCUUAACAAUACUCUCUCAGACUUUUAAAGACUGAUCCCUCUUCUCCCCAAAAUCCAUUCCCCUUUCAAACUCUCUUAACCCUUGUAUUUAUAUCAAAUAACAAACCCCCCUCCAGCUCUUAUGAGCACUUAGCUAAUUAGAAAACUCAUUGUCCCAUCAAAUUGCCCGAAGACCACUACUGCUUGUCCCUUUCUAUUAUUUUAAUUCAAAGGUGUUUGGGCAGCAUAAAUUUAAAAUUCAGACGUACCCGAUAGCCCAUGUUGCUUCCACUUUGUCAUAAUAAUUUUUUUAAUUCAGUACUUUACCUUAAUUUUAUCAAUCAACAAAUCCUAACUGACUAACAAACACGGUACAGAUUCAAAUAACAGCUAACAACAAAUAACAAUUACACAAAAUUCAAAUGACUAACCAAUUCAGUGUGAUUACUGACUGAGCAUUUCAAGUUAUUGCGAUGAACUAAUCUCUAAUUUUAAGCAAACGAAUAGACUUGGUUCAAUGUAUAAACAAAGAAAAAACGAAGCAAGAGGAUAAAAAGAAUGGUAAUUAACCAAAAACUAAAAGAUAACAUAAAAGAAAGGGAAUUGAAAAAUACUCGGAUAUAAGGCGAACCAAACACUGGAAUUACAGCUCGUCCUUUUGAUUUGGAUCAAAACGGACCUUAAUUGUGUGUUUACAAUAUGAAAACAUACGACAAAGGUCCAAUUUUGGUCCAAAGCUCCUCACCGUGCCCGUUGUCCUUUGAGUUAAAGUUAGGGCUCAAUUUCCGUGAUUUUAAACUUGACACUCUAAGCCCACAUUCGAGGGAAGCCAGGUGUGGCUUUGGGGUGAGGGAGUCAAAUAGGUCAUUGCGUGUUAGUUUAGGAAGGUUUGGAGGUCGUGAUAAAGGAUUUUAGGGUGGCGCUAGGGUUCCUCACUUUGAAGGGAUAUUCGAGGGUUUCGACUUGGAUUCGAGGAAAAGUGUUUGGAUAAUUGGAAUGGGGAGGUCAAGGAGGAGUUAUGGUGUAAAAUUUGGAGGGUUUGGGCCACCGAAAUCGCCGUGAGGUAAUUUUCGGUAGGCGGAGCAUGGUGGAGUUUAGGCGGAGAGUUUGUUUGGUCUCUGAGGUUAGAGACAAAGAGGGCAACGGUGGGGUUUUGCUUUGGGGGUGGGGGUGUAUCGUUUAAUCUUAUAUACUCAAUUAGGGAUUAAACACAUGUCGUUAGAUCAAUCAAGAUCAACUGCCAUGAUCAACAGACUAAACGAGACGACGUCGUUUGGAUAAAAGGGGGCGGAUUCAGGUUUGGGAACGGGUCAGGUGUGGGUUUGGACGGGUAAGGGGGUUUGGGACUGGGAUUUCCUAUAAGACUGGCCCAAUUCCAAUUUUUCAAUUUAUUUUUUCAUAUUUGUUUCCUUUUAUUUUCUUUCCUUUUUAUUUCCUAAUUUUAAAACAAAAAAUUCUAGAUUAAAUUAUAAAACCAAAAUUAUCUUAAAAAUAAAAAUUAACUCUUUAUAAUAAUUAGGACAUAUAAUUAAAAUAAAAAGAAACUCAUACAAUUUAACAUUACACACUAAAAUGCGAAGUACAUUUUUUUUUGAGUUUUUCGUUUUGUAAAACAAACUUAAUUACUCCUAAUUAUAGAAUUAAAUCCUAAAUGCAAAUGCAAACAUUUUUUUUGUAUUUUUAUUAAUUUUUAAAAAUAAACAUGCACGGACGAAUGCAAACAAUACACAAAAUUCACAACAAUUGCAAACAAACAAAAUUAUUUUAUUUUGAAAUUCUUUUUGGGAGCAAUUCUCAUAUAGGGCAAAAAUCACGUGGUCACAGCUGCCCCUCUUUGUCCGAAAACAUGAAGAGUUUUGGUGAAAAGAUAAAGUGAGCGGAUAAGAGCAAUUUUUUGCCCGUUUGAGUACUCCGUGUGAAGCAUUUUGAAAGAUUUGACUGAACCUCUGCUUCAAAGGUUUCCUACAUAUCCCUGACUAAAAAGAAAUCAGGUCAAUGUAGUUCGGGAAGUUUUGGUAGCUGGGACUACCAUGGAGCUGUGAUUUUGCUGUUACUGCUGCUGUUGCUACUACCGCUUACUGACCUCCUUAUUACACCAUGUUAAAAGAAAAAACAAGAAGCUAGACUAAACUAUUUACAAAAUCUUAUCUAGACCUUGAAGACUUGCUCUUAGAGUAUUCUCUUGAUUGCCGAACUCGAACUGCUUAUUUCCUUCUUGUGUGCUUCGAAUUAUUUUUCCUUCGAAGCUUGUACUGCUUUCUUCUGACUUCUGAACUUGAAUUUAGGGUGGUAUUUGUUGUUGUAACCCUCUCCUUUACUUACUUCAAACUUCAAUGUAUUCCUCUGUUAUACGGGCGGGCUCUCAACUUCAAAACUUGAAAUGUAAAGACUGAAAUGUAUUCCUCUGUUAUACGGGCGAGCUCUCGACUUCAAGACUUAAAUAAUAUAAAGAAUAAAUGUAUUCCUCUGUUAUAUGGGCGGGCUCCCAUCUUCAAAACUUGAAAUGUAUUCCUCUGUUAUAUGGGAGGGCUCCUAACUUCAAAUUUUGAUAUGUAAAGACUGAAAUGAUUACCAUUUUAGGUGAAAGAUUCACUAGACUAAGAUUUUUAUUUUUAUCUUAGGUGAAAGAUUCAUCUGACAAAGAUUUUUAUCUUAGGUGAAAGAUUCAACAGACUAAGAUUUUUAUCUUAGGUGAAAGAUUCAACAUACUAAGAUUUUCUUUAUCUUAGGUGAAAGAUUCAUCAGACUAAGAUAUUUUUUUAUUUUAGGUGAAAGAUUCAACAGACUAAGUUUUUUAUCUUUAUUUAGACUAAGAUUUUUAUCUUAUGUGAAAGAUUCAACAGACUAAGAUUUUUAUGUUUAUCUUAGGUGAAAUAUUCAUCAGACUAAGAUUUUUCUUUUUUUCCAAUUCAGACUUCCUUUUUUCUUUUCAAAUUCUGCCCUUCCUUUCUUCUUCCCUUUUUAAAAAAAAAUUAUGCCUUCCUUUCUUCUUAUUUUUUUAACAUUCUGACUUCCCUUCUUUUCAAAUUAUCCUAGGAGAAAACUAAUCAGAUUAAGAUUUUUAUCUUUAUCUUAGGUGAAAAAUUCAUCAGACUAAGAUUUUCAUCUUAGGUGAAAGAUUCAACACACAAUGAUUUUCAUCUUUAUCUUAGGUGAAAAAUCAUAAGACUAAGAUUUUUCUCUUAGGUCAAAGAUUCAACAGACUAAGAUUUUUAUCUUUAUCUUAGGUGAAAGAUUCAUCAGACUAAGAUUUUUAUCUUAGGUGAAAGAUUCAACAGACUAAAACUUUUAUCUUUUAUCUUAGGUGAAAAAUUCAUCAGACUAAGAUUUUUAUCUUAGGUGAAAGAUUCAAUAGACUAAGAUUUUUAUUUUUUAUCUUACGUGGAAAAUUCAUCUGACUAAGUUUUUUUAUCUUAGGUGAAAGAUAACAGACUAAGAUUUUUAUCUUUAUCUUAGGUGAAAGAUUCAUCAGACAAAGAUUUUUAUCUUUAUCUUAAGUGAAAAAUUCAUCAGAAUACUAUUUUUAUCGAUUAACCAUUUUCCUCCGGAACUUGUUUUAUCUACCUUCUAAUUUGAAUUAUCUUCCUUCAGGACUACUUCCCUAAAAACUGGUGUUGUCCUCCUUCAAAAACCACUUUCCUAAAAACUGGUGUUUCAUUCCUCCGAAAAUUACUUUCCUUAUAACUGAUGUUUCUUUCUUGAAAACAACUUCACUUUUUUUUAAAAAUAAAAAUAAAAAUUUCAAAAUGACAGAAAAUUUUCAAAUUUCUACCCCAGUUUGAUAAUCUUCCUUGUAGCACGUCUUUCUGCCAUCAAUAACUUUUUCUGCCCAUGUUUCGAAUCAGAGAAAAUUCUGCCAAUUUAAAGUGCGGUGGUUGGUUGUGGUACUCCUGCUGGGGAUGGAUUUCUUUUCCAUGCUCUCCGUUAUCCGACCAUCUUGAAAAUUAGCCGAUAACCCCCCCCCCCCCCCCNNNNNNNNNNNNNNNNNNNNNNNNNNNNNNNNNNNNNNNNNNNNNNNNNNNNNNNNNNNNNNNNNNNNNNNNNNNNNNNNNNNNNNNNNNNNCCACUCCCGACCUUCUUGACGAUUCUUUAUUCACAAACUUCUCAUCUGACCCCAUAUAUUUCCCAUGACAACAGAUUUCUGUUUGGAAUAUAUUUAUUGUCACUGGCCCACCCUUUUGUCAAUCUCAUAAUAGAAUAUACCUUUGAUUCAUUCUCCCUGGCCUUCCCUCUGCUGCAUUGUCCAUGAAUGGAUCGAUCUUGGAUAUUUGCAUGAAUCUCAAAGCAUGUUGACUAUUACCAUCUCAGUGCAUUUGUUCUUUCCUGGAAAAUUUUGAAGUCAUUUCUCACUUGUUCAGACCAAAGAGACUCAAGAAGAGGAAAUGACGAAGAUAUAAGGAGUGCUGUAAAAGACAAAAGAAAAAGAUGACUCCUAACAAGAAAAACAAUAAAGUAAAACUUAUCAGACGUGGAUGCCAACUCUAGUGGUCAUGACAUGCACACGUGGCCUAUCCUCUGUCGUUAAUUGUCUUUCACAAUCUCCAUCUGAUGAUUUCCCUCUCAAUCCUUAUUCGACUUGUAGUUCCCGAAGAAUUUCACUAUCACGACUCUCUCAUUUUGAUUUCUCUCAACUCCCGUCGCCUUAUGAUGCAUGCGAAGGUUUUCACCGGUAGGACUCUCUCAUUAUAUUACUUUUCAGCUGGGGUUGGGGUGUUAUAGAUAAGACUCUCUCAUUUUAUUUCUUUUCUGGGGAUCGAAGUGUUAUUCUCUACUUCUACUUGCCUGACUUUGCAUCCUUUGCAGACUGGUCAAAAGGUCUUUCUUUUGACCGUAAUGUAGGAUUUUGGAUAGGCUAGGAAUAAAGGGUAUUAAAGGCUCAAAGAAAUCAACUUGGGUUCAAAAUUACAACCUUCGGAACUAGAUUUCUUUACAACAAACACAACUUUUGCCCCAAUUUCUUGCUUGUGGAUUUUUUUAUUAUUUUUUGUUACACUAUGACCGAGCUGUUAAGCGCCUACGUAUCCUCUUUGAGGAAUCAGGUCAAACGUAGUUCACCAAAUUCCUACUUGUUCUAGUUUUCCUUUUCACGUAUUUAUUAUUUUCUUUUUCUUUUUCUUUCUCUUUUAUCUCUUUUUUUCUUUUUGUUGGUUUGUUGUCUUUGUGUUUUUUUUUCUUUUUCUUUCUCCUUUUCUUCUUCUUAUCUUUUUGUGUUUCUACUCUUUGCUACUAAUUCCGAAAUAGUGGUAUGAAAGAAAACAAAUAAGGCUCAAAGGGCUAACAAAAGUGUUUAGAUAGCAGAACAAAAUGCCUCUGUCAUUCCAAUAUUCAAAACAUGCCAAGCACAAACAACACGAUUAAACAAAGAUUUGUGACAUCUUUUGAUCUUACUAGUCUUGAUAACUAUAUCCACAUCUUUGCUUUCUUCAUCUUUGAAAUGUAAAGAACCAUUUGGGCAAAAUUUUCACUCUCGUUAUCAUGAACGACCCUUGCUUUUACGGUUUAUGUUUUAUCCGCCCACAGUUUCACAUGGUUUGGACUUCAAAUGAUCUCAAACCGUUUUUUAUUUCCUUAAGUGUCCCGACCAUCUCCCAACGGCUUUAUUAUUAACUUUUAAUUUUAGUACUGGGUUGUGCGUGCAUGUCAUGUCACUAGAAUCAGCGUUGAACAAAAUACAAAAACAAAGGAUAAAAGAACUAAAAGAAAAGGACUGGAGGUAAAAAAACCGGAAUUUGCAUUAGAUAAACGGCGAAUAGUUUGGAUAACAAAACAAGCAAAACAAACCGGAUUAUCAUCCUAGAAUGAAACUGAAGCAAACGUGGACAACACCAAACAAACCACUACGACUAAACAAAUUAGAUAAAAGGAUAAUGGGAUUUGAGUGACAAGACAAUAUCCAGAUUACAACCCCGCAAAUAACCCAGACAACAGAAAUGACAACAAAACAAGCUAAAGAUUCCUUUAUAAGUGAGGAUAAUUUUCAAUUGCCAGGCUUGAUAUUUAGCCAUAAAUUUGCUCAUAAGAAUCAACAGAGCCUUCUCGAAUUUCAACAUCAUUAACUUGAGUUAGCAAGUUCCCGCGGGGAUUCUCAUACUUCAUGUCAUCAGGUAUCAUCCCCACAAAGUGUGCAUUAUGAUUUGCAGGUAAAGGAUUCUGCAUGAUAUUCUGGCUGUCACUGUCUUGGAUCACAAUCAAGUUUUCCUGAAUCUUGUGUUUCCAGCUUGCCAAAAACCGACCACCUCAACUUUCUUCACAAUUCAAAACAGAACAUGUUAGAAUGGACUCAGUCGGCCCUCAUUAUUAACAACAACAUCUUUUUCUUUUUUUCAUUUCAUAAUUUUUUUAGAUAUAGUUGUGGUUGAAUAUUAUGCAGAUUGCCCACGUAUCAUGACUCCGCAUGAAUCAGACAUUGCGUAGUUCGGGCCAAUAAAACAAACUACUUUGAAAACAAAGACAAUUUUUUUCUCUUUUUCAUUUGAAAAUAGAACAAGCUAUUUUUUGAAAGAAAAUUUUUUUUUCCCUUUUUAUUUUAUUUUAUUUGGGAAGUAAAAUAGAACUUUUUUUUUCAUUUUAAAAAAAAAAGAAUUCGGCAGAGUUUUGACACUAUUUUGGCAUUGGUAUUUUUCAAAACAGAUGAUUAACCCUCUACACUGCUAUUUCUCUUCUUUUUUUCUCUUUUCCCCAAUUUUCCGAUAUUCCUGAUUUUCAGAAGCCGAUCAGCAUGCCAAUUUGAAGGAAAUAAAAUGCACAAGCAGUAAGUAGGAUGUAUCAGGAUGGUCUUUUUCAUUUCGGGUACACCUGUCCUAGACACACCCAACCCCUGUGUUGAGUUUCCAAAGUCAAAAUGCACAUGAUGUAAACUAUUUGAUUGUACCGAAAGGCCCAAUGAAUUGGGAUUUCCCUAUUGGUCCAGGUCAUUUCGGGGCAAGCGGAUCAUUUAUGAUGAAGAGGAUGAGCUUCAAGAGAAUGAUUCGGAGUUCUUGCAGAGUGGAACCAUGCAGUACUAAUAGGAAUUCAACCAUUAUGGCUAGGAAAAGUUUGAUUCGGAGGGAGAAGAAGAGGCAAAAAUUGGAACAGAAACAUCAUUCGAUUCGCCGAUCCUCAAAGAAAGAAAUAAGCUUCCUACUAGGGAUCCAGCAUGAGGUUUUGUUAUACUAGGUUUAAAACCUGGGUAUAUUGUUCUAGACCUGGCUUAUCCGAGCGGAUAGCUCGAGCCGAGGGGGAGGCAUCGUACUGGAAUACAGAAACUUCACUGGCUUAGCAACUUGUCCGAACCUCAUACUAAAUUGGUAAUUAGACUCUAUACAGAAAAAAGUCACACGAAGUGCACCCUGCUUCAUGAUUUAGAAGAUUCAGAGACAAAAUGGGUUUCGUCACAGUUUAUAUAUAGUUCACGAAAUAUCAAAGCGGUAAAAGUAGUCAAUUAGCACAUUAGGCACAGAACAUGUAACAAAAUCAGAUAAAUCCAAACACAACAGUUUAUCUAAGCUCGAACGGUGAACCCUGAACAAAAGUUCUGGGUUAAGAUCCCCAGCAGAGUCUCUAGAGCUAUCACACCUCUCUUUUGCCUAUGCCCGCAAGGGCGUAAGGAGAGUUUUCCAAUAAAAGGACAAUCGAAAUGAGAUUUAUUAAAAGAUUCAGAGUCGCCUCUUGGGAGAUUUAUGGUGUUCCAAGUCACCGGUUGAAUCGCAAAUCGAUUAAAAGAAUAACUCUGUAUUACAGUCUGCGAAGCAGAAAUCCGAGUAAGGAAUUCUGUUAACUUGGGAGAAGGUGUUAGCUAUUCCCGAGUUCUGUGGUUCUAGCACGGUCGCUCCACUGUCAUAUUAGGCUUAUUAAUCUGAUUUUAAUACAUGUUGAACCUAGGUGAAAAUUUUAACUUUUUACCGCUUUUAUUAUUAUUAUUAUUUAAAGAAAGUUGAACAUCGUUUAAAAUGCAUAUUUAGACUGCGUCACAUAAAAUGCACCCCCAAUCCUGAACACAUUGUAUUCGACGUUUUGGGAUUUAAUUUGGGUCAUAUGAAAUGCACACCCGAGUUUUGGAAGGUAAUAUUAUUAAAAACCGCUCCUAAAGAGACUACCUUGUUAUUAUUUUGGGGAAGGCCUACUAAAUGGCCCGUCCCGAAAUCUAAGUAUUUAUUAUAACCAUUUAUUGAGUACCCCGCAGUUUGUGUAUUUUAUUUGGCUAGGCUCGUCUCAUUCUUUAUUUAAGGAUAUCCUAAAGCGACUAUGAUUUUUCUAUUUAUUUUGUCGGUAAAAGAAAUAAAACGAAAUCCCUAAUUACUUAAUAUUAUAAUUCGAGCUUCAAAUUCGAGUCCAGAUCCAAACAAAAGGGAGCGCCUUUUAGUUUGAGCCCACUUCCCAACUUGAAACCCACAGUAGGUCAAUUGAAUACUAACAAGCCAAUUGCCGAAAGUGCCCAAACCAUGUAUCACGUAAAUUUUAGACAAAGGUCCCAAUAGCCAAUAGAUAUGGGGGCCGGAAAGCCCAAUUUAGUCAAAACAGAUCAAACCAAAGAGAUCGGAAGAUCGAAUCUCUAAGGCCGCACAAGCCGACCAUUGCUUAACCUUUUGUAUAUCUAAGAUUAUACUAACUUUUCUAAUUUUUGCCGAAUAGCACUAGAGUUAGACAACGUACACUCAUUCAAAUUAAUAACUCCAUUCAUGUCUGAUUAUCAAACAAUCAAUUCGUUUAAGUUGUGAGCUAAUGUUGCCUAGUUGUUCAAACGGGUUAUUGAUAUUGAUUACCAAUCUAUACUAUAAAAACCUUGUUGAAAUAAGGAACUCAGUGAAACAGAAGAGUUGACCUUAAUAACUACUCUGUGGGUAUUAGCUAACAAAGAUGCGAAGCUCGCUUGGCAUAUGUAUUCAAACUAAAAAUUAAACUGGACGUGGCCAUCACACACUGGUAAUCUCAAACUGUUUUCGACUUUUCUCUUAAACAACAGUAAACGCUAAACUACACAUGGGUUAACUACGUGAGAGUUAUUGCUAAACAGUCACUAGUUUAUACAGUCCAGAAAUCCGGUAGAGUACACAUGGAGGCCUGCUUAAAUCCUGCAUUAUACUAUAAUCUCAAACUACACCCAACUAAAUUGCCAAAUCCAUGAAAUACAUCUAAUUAAUCAAACAACUAACUAUUAAACAGUCCAAAUUAGUUCAAGUACAUUUCCAAUUCCUACAAGGUGAGUACAAUUGGAAAGAGUCAAAACAAAUACAAAUUAUCUACUAACUAUACUGCUAAGUUAAUUUGAAUAUAUAAACAUAAAAACGCAAACGGGUUGAAGAUUUCAUUGCAUCAUUUCAAUAUCCAAGUUGUAGCAAUACAUGAUUCAAAUAUGUACCUCGUUUUGAGGAAUAUAAGAAGAAUGAAAAGAGGUCAGCUACAGGCUGAAUAAGCAUCAACGCAUAUCAUAGCAGCAGCAAGACAGCAGUAACACCAAUAGCAUAUUACCAACAGCAAUGGAGUAGUUAAAAAAAAAAAACCAACCCACCACCAAUUCAACCAAAAUGAAAUUGAGAAACAAACAGAAAGAGAGCUUGACCACAACAAUAACAACCAAAGACAGAACAACUGGGCUCGACUAAGAUCAAAAACAGAAUCAGCAGACUUCCAAACAGAUUCAGCAAUCAGAAAAGGUAAGAAUCAGGGCCUGGAAUCGAAAUUUCUGCCUAGAACUCAAUGGAACAGUACCCUUUCUUUUAAAAACUGACAAUGACUUGAAGUCUGAAGAUGCUCUCCUGGAUUGAGUAGAAAGAUAACCUAUGGAAAAACUGACUCCCUCUUUAUGAUAUUAUUUUAAGUGUGACCUUUGAGAACUGAUUCCAAAAGCCCCCUUAACAAUACUCUCUAAGAUUCUUAAAGACUGAUCCCUCUUCUCCCCAAAAUUCAGUCCCCUUUCAAACUCUCUUAACCCCUGUAUUUAUAUCAAAUACAGUCCCCCCCCCCCCCCCCCCNNNNNNNNNNNNNNNNNNNNNNNNNNNNNNNNNNNNNNNNNNNNNNNNNNNNNNNNNNNNNNNNNNNNNNNNNNNNNNNNNNNNNNNNNNNNNNNNNNNNNNNNNNNNNNNNNNNNNNNNNNNNNNNNNNNNNNNNNNNNNNNNNNNNNNNNNNNNNNNNNNNNNNNNNNNNNNNNNNNNNNNNNNNNNNNNNNNNNNNNNNNNNNNNNNNNNNNNNNNNNNNNNNNNNNNNNNNNNNNNNNNNNNNNNNNNNNNNNNNNNNNNNNNNNNNNNCCCCCCCCCCCCCCCCCCCCUCUAGUUCUUAUGAGAACUUAGCCAAUUAAAAAAUUCAUUGUCCCAUCAUAUUGCCUGAAGACUACUACUGCCUGUCCCUUUCUAUUAUGUUAAUUCAAAAAUUUAUGGGCAGCCUAAAUUGAAAAUUCAGGCGUGCCCGACAGCCCUUGUUGCUUCCAAUUUGUCCGAAUCAUUUUUUUAAUUCAGUGCUUUAUCUUAAUUUUAUUAAUCAACAAAUCCUAAUUGACUAACAAACAUGGUACAGAUUCAAAUAACAGCUAACAACAAACCACAAUUACACAAAAUUCAAAUGACUAACCAAUUCAGUGUGAUAACCGACUCAGCAUUUCAACUUAUUGCGAUGAACUAAUCUCUAAUUUUAUUCAACGUAUAAACAAAUUAGAAACGAAGCAGGAGGAGAAGAAGAUUGGGAAUUAAACGAAAACCAAAAUAUAACUGAAAGUAAAGGGAAUUGAAAAUACCCGGAUAUCAGGCGGACCAAACAGUGGAAUUACUCAUCAUCCUUUUGAUUUGGAUCGUAACAGACCUUAAUGAUGUGUUUCCAAUAUGAAAACAUACGACUAAGGUCGAAUUAUGGUCUAAAGCUCCUCACCGUUCCCAUUGGCUUUUGAGUUAAAGUUAGGGAUCAGUUUUCGUGAUUUCAAAUUUGAGACUCUAGGCCCACAUUCAAAGGAAGCCAGGUGUGGAUUUGGGGUGAGGGAGUCAAGUAGGUCAUUGGGUGUUAGUUUGGGAAGGUUUGGAGGUGGUGCCGUCAUCGGGGAUUUUAGAGUGGCGCUAGGAUUCCUCCCUUUGAAGGGAUAUUCAAGGGGAUUGGCUUGGAUUCGAGGAAAAGUGUUUGGAUAAUCGGAAUGGGGAGGUCGAGGAGCUAUGGUGUAAAAUUUGGAGGGUUUGGGCCACCGGAACCGCCGUGAGGCGAUUUCUGGUGGGCGGACCACGGUGGAGUCUAGGCGGAGAGUUUGUUUGGUCUCUGAGGUUAGAGACAGAG